GUACACAAAAAUGCACAUACUGUGAGCUCGAUGAGUAGGGCGGGACACGUGGUAUCCUGUCUGAAUAUGGGGGGACCAUCCUCCAAGGCUAAAUACUCCUGACUGACCGAUAGUGAACCAGUACCGUGAGGGAAAGGCGAAAAGAACCCCGGCGAGGGGAGUGAAAAAGAACCUGAAACCGUGUACGUACAAGCAGUGGGAGCCUCUUUUAUGGGGUGACUGCGUACCUUUUGUAUAAUGGGUCAGCGACUUAUAUUCUGUAGCAAGGUUAACCGAAUAGGGGAGCCGAAGGGAAACCGAGUCUUAACUGGGCGUUAAGUUGCAGGGUAUAGACCCGAAACCCGGUGAUCUAGCCAUGGGCAGGUUGAAGGUUGGGUAACACUAACUGGAGGACCGAACCGACUAAUGUUGAAAAAUUAGCGGAUGACUUGUGGCUGGGGGUGAAAGGCCAAUCAAACCGGGAGAUAGCUGGUUCUCCCCGAAAGCUAUUUAGGUAGCGCCUCGUGAAUUCAUCUCCGGGGGUAGAGCACUGUUUCGGCAAGGGGGUCAUCCCGACUUACCAACCCGAUGCAAACUGCGAAUACCGGAGAAUGUUAUCACGGGAGACACACGGCGGGUGCUAACGUCCGUCGUGAAGAGGGAAACAACCCAGACCGCCAGCUAAGGUCCCAAAGUCAUGGUUAAGUGGGAAACGAUGUGGGAAGGCCCAGACAGCCAGGAUGUUGGCUUAGAAGCAGCCAUCAUUUAAAGAAAGCGUAAUAGCUCACUGGUCGAGUCGGCCUGCGCGGAAGAUGUAACGGGGCUAAACCAUGCACCGAAGCUGCGGCAGCGACGCUUAUGCGUUGUUGGGUAGGGGAGCGUUCUGUAAGCCUGCGAAGGUGUGCUGUGAGGCAUGCUGGAGGUAUCAGAAGUGCGAAUGCUGACAUAAGUAACGAUAAAGCGGGUGAAAAGCCCGCUCGCCGGAAGACCAAGGGUUCCUGUCCAACGUUAAUCGGGGCAGGGUGAGUCGACCCCUAAGGCGAGGCCGAAAGGCGUAGUCGAUGGGAAACAGGUUAAUAUUCCUGUACUUGGUGUUACUGCGAAGGGGGGACGGAGAAGGCUAUGUUGGCCGGGCGACGGUUGUCCCGGUUUAAGCGUGUAGGCUGGUUUUCCAGGCAAAUCCGGAAAAUCAAGGCUGAGGCGUGAUGACGAGGCACUACGGUGCUGAAGCAACAAAUGCCCUGCUUCCAGGAAAAGCCUCUAAGCAUCAGGUAACAUCAAAUCGUACCCCAAACCGACACAGGUGGUCAGGUAGAGAAUACCAAGGCGCUUGAGAGAACUCGGGUGAAGGAACUAGGCAAAAUGGUGCCGUAACUUCGGGAGAAGGCACGCUGAUAUGUAGGUGAAGCGACUUGCUCGUGGAGCUGAAAUCAGUCGAAGAUACCAGCUGGCUGCAACUGUUUAUUAAAAACACAGCACUGUGCAAACACGAAAGUGGACGUAUACGGUGUGACGCCUGCCCGGUGCCGGAAGGUUAAUUGAUGGGGUUAGCGGUAACGCGAAGCUCUUGAUCGAAGCCCCGGUAAACGGCGGCCGUAACUAUAACGGUCCUAAGGUAGCGAAAUUCCUUGUCGGGUAAGUUCCGACCUGCACGAAUGGCGUAAUGAUGGCCAGGCUGUCUCCACCCGAGACUCAGUGAAAUUGAACUCGCUGUGAAGAUGCAGUGUACCCGCGGCAAGACGGAAAGACCCCGUGAACCUUUACUAUAGCUUGACACUGAACAUUGAGCCUUGAUGUGUAGGAUAGGUGGGAGGCUUUGAAGUGUGGACGCCAGUCUGCAUGGAGCCGGCCUUGAAAUACCACCCUUUAAUGUUUGAUGUUCUAACGUUGGCCCCUGAUCGGGGUUGCGGACAGUGUCUGGUGGGUAGUUUGACUGGGGCGGUCUCCUCCUAAAGAGUAACGGAGGAGCACGAAGGUUGGCUAAUCCUGGUCGGACAUCAGGAGGUUAGUGCAAUGGCAUAAGCCAGCUUGACUGCGAGCGUGACGGCGCGAGCAGGUGCGAAAGCAGGUCAUAGUGAUCCGGUGGUUCUGAAUGGAAGGGCCAUCGCUCAACGGAUAAAAGGUACUCCGGGGAUAACAGGCUGAUACCGCCCAAGAGUUCAUAUCGACGGCGGUGUUUGGCACCUCGAUGUCGGCUCAUCACAUCCUGGGGCUGAAGUAGGUCCCAAGGGUAUGGCUGUUCGCCAUUUAAAGUGGUACGCGAGCUGGGUUUAGAACGUCGUGAGACAGUUCGGUCCCUAUCUGCCGUGGGCGCUGGAGAACUGAGGGGGGCUGCUCCUAGUACGAGAGGACCGGAGUGGACGCAUCACUGGUGUUCGGGUUGUCAUGCCAAUGGCACUGCCCGGUAGCUAAAUGCGGAAGAGAUAAGUGCUGAAAGCAUCUAAGCACGAAACUUGCCCCGAGAUGAGUUCUCCCUGAGACUUUAAGUCUCCUGAAGGAACGUUGAAGACGACGACGUUGAUAGGCCGGGUGUGUAAGCGCAGCGAUGCGUUGAGCUAACCGGUACUAAUGAACCGUGAG
rnacentral:rRNA from 1 species